GAUUUGCGUAAAGGAUAGCAGUGGAGCUCUUUUUUGCCUUGUUCUUUGCAAGACAAAAAAGCGGGAACGGAUAGCCUGAACCGGA
rnacentral:sRNA from 1 species